GCCACCGUGGCUCAAUGGUAGAGCACGAGUUUUGUAAACUCGGGGUUGGGGGUUCAAUUCCCUCCGGUGGCU
rnacentral:tRNA from 1 species